UACGGGGGGUGCUAGCGUUGUUCGGAAUCACUGGGCGUAAAGCGCGUGUAGGCGGGUGGCUAAGUCAGAUGUGAAAUCCCAUGGCUUAACCGUGGACGUGCAUUUGAAACUGGCCGCCUUGAGUGCGGAAGAGGGAAGGGGAAUUCCCGGUGUAGAGGUGAAAUUCGUAGAUAUCGGGAGGAAUACCAGUGGCGAAGGCGCCUUCCUGGGACGACACUGACGCUGAGACGCGAAAGCGUGGGGAG
rnacentral:rRNA from 1 species